rnacentral:ncRNA from 1 species
CCAGGUGGGUUCUGCCUACUCCACAUAAUAGGCAGCAUCCGCUAAAUUAAAGGAGGAUAACCCCGUUGGACGCACGGUGCGGCAGUGUGGAGACCUGUCGUAAUGCUGCCGGGAUAUGACCGCUUGGCAGCGAGGGCACAUGCGAAAUGGUAGGUGUGCCUGGCGUCAAAGAAGUAUGGCA